rnacentral:rRNA from 1 species
CUGGCCCUACGGGAGGCAGCAGUGAGGAAUAUUGGUCAAUGGGAGAGAUCCUGAACCAGCCAAGCCGCGUGAGGGAAGACGGCCCUAUGGGUUGUAAACCUCUUUUGUCGGAGAACAAAACCCGGGACGUGUCCCGGACUGCGUGUAUCCGAAGAAAAAGCAUCGGCUAACUACGUGCCAGCAGCCGCGGUAAUACGUAGGGGGCAAGCGUUAUCCGGAUUUACUGGGUGUAAAGGGAGCGUAGACGGCCAUGCAAGUCUGAUGUGAAAACCCGGGGCUCAACCCCGGGACUGCAUUGGAACAUG